rnacentral:misc_RNA from 1 species
GUAUAAGUAUCAAUUGUUUGAUUACAUGCAGUUAAAUAAAAAAAUAAAUGUUAAUAUACUUCAUAUGAAUGGAAAAACUUCCAUUUUGUCUUCACUAACAAACAACUACAAUUAAUAAAAAUGAAAACAAAGCAAUUAAUUUUUUUUCCCUUACAUUUUGGAGACAAACUUCACAUUUAGGAUGAAUAAACUCUUUCAAGCAAGGCUUGUGAUAUGGAUCCCCACCUAACAAAGAAAACUUGGAUCAACAGA